UACGGAGGGGACUAGCGUUGUUCGGAAUUACUGGGCGUAAAGCGCACGUAGGCGAUUUGUAAGUCAGGGGUGAAAUCCCGGGGCUCAACCUCGGAACUGCCUUUGAUACUGCAAAUCUCGAGUCCGGAAGAGGCGAGUGGAAUUCCUGGUGUAGCGGUGAAAUGCGCAGAUAUCAGGAGGAACACCUAUGGCGAAGGCAGCUCGCUGGGACGGUACUGACGCUGAGACGCGAAAGCGUGGGGAGCGAACAGG
rnacentral:rRNA from 1 species